rnacentral:ncRNA from 1 species
GAUAUGUUGUGCAUCGUCGGUGUCGCCCUCGCAGGCGGCUGAAAAGGGAAGCCGGUCCAGACCCCGUGUCGACUCCGGCGCUGCCCCGCAGCGGUAGUGGAAACGAACCUCGCCAUUGCACUGGGGCCCAAGCCCCGGGAAGCGGCGAGCAGUAGGAGGACGGCCCGCCGUCCGCGUCCAGAGCCCGAAGACCUGCCGACAGCCGCGCGAAGCAC